rnacentral:rRNA from 1 species
UUGGACAUGGGCGAAGCCUGAUCCAGCCAUGCCGCGUGUGUGAAGAAGGUCUUCGGAUUGUAAAGCACUUUAAGUUGGGAGGAAGGGCAGUAAGUUAAUACCUUGCUGUUUUGACGUUACCAACAGAAUAAGCACCGGCUAACUUCGUGCCAGCAGCCGCGGUAAUACGAAGGGUGCAAGCGUUAAUCGGAAUUACUGGGCGUAAAGCGCGCGUAGGUGGUUCAGCAAGUUGGAGGUGAAAUCCCCGGGCUCAACCUGGGAACUGCCUCCAAAACUACUGAGCUA